GGUCAAUGACGAAAAUAGCCAAAUCUGAGCAUCAGAAGACCUUCUAGUCUUACCUGAUGCAUGAUCUCCAUUGUUCUGAGA
ensembl:snoRNA